rnacentral:rRNA from 1 species
AGAACGAACGCUGGCGGCAUGCCUAACACAUGCAAGUCGAACGAGACCUUCGGGUCUAGUGGCGCACGGGUGCGUAACGCGUGGGAAUCUGCCCAAAGGUUCGGAACAACUCAGGGAAACUUGAGCUAAUACCGGAUGAUGUCGCAAGACCAAAGAUUUAUUGCCUUUGGAUGAGCCCGCGUAGGAUUAGCUUGUUGGUGAGGUAAAGGCUCACCAAGGCUACGAUCCUUAGCUGGUCUGAGAGGAUGAUCAGCCACACUGGGACUGAGACACGGCCCAGACUCCUACGGGAGGCAGCAGUGGGGAAUAUUGGACAAUGGGCGAAAGCCUGAUCCAGCAAUGCCGCGUGAGUGAUGAAGGCCCUAGGGUUGUAAAGCUCUUUACCCGGGAGAUAAUGACUGUACCGGGAGAAUAAGCCCCGGCUAACUCCGCGCCAGCAGCCGC